rnacentral:rRNA from 1 species
GUCCACGCCGUAAACGAUGGGCACUAGGUCCUUGGGGGAGCGACCCAUUGAGGGCCGGCGCUAACGCAUUAAGUGCCCCGCCUGGGGAGUACGGCCGCAAGGCUGAAACUCAAAGGAAUUGACGGGGGCCCGCACAAGCGAUGGAGCAUGUGGUUUAAUUCGACGCAACGCGAAGAACCUUACCUGGGCUUGACAUGCACGGGAACUCGCGGGGAAACCUGCGGGGCUCUUCGGAGCUCGUGCACAGGUGCUGCAUGGCUGUCGU